GUGUGUGAUAUAACAAAACUGUUGUGCGAGGUUUUUAAUGUGACAUGGUCAAGACAUACUAUGAUAGUAUUGUUCAGUAUGACUUCUGUCAUGUUACUGUUUGAUAACAGUGAAGGUACAGUAGGUUCAGCCAAGUUAUAUACAUGUAUACAGGACAAGACAGCUCAAACCGGCAGUUUGUUAUAGCAAAAAGUGAUGAAGUUUCAGCCUAGAAGUCUUCAUGAUGAUGAUGAUGAUCAUAGUUAUAGAUUCUUUGAAAUUAUCUGUAAGGAAGGGGUUUCUGCUGCAGAGAAUGAAAAAAUUCAUACAGUAAGAAGUUGCCCACUCUGUUCAAAUGAAGCUGUCUGAAGUACCCAGUAGACAAUGUAUUAUUUCUGGAACAACUUAAUUGAAGUGAAGCUUACUAUGUGAAGGAGUUAUUUCUGUAUUCAAAAGGAAACUUUUGCAUACAGAAUACCAAUUGAGGUAUAGUAGUUCACUUUAAAUUUUUACUUUUAUCCAUCUAAAGAAAGCAUGAGAUACAAAAAUAGGCGAUAAUAAUUAUUUUCCUGACACCAGAAUACACUAUGGUUCUGCUUGCAGUUAGAAGUGGUGUUCUAUUCUUGUAAAGCAGCAUUAAUUGAAACCAAUAUUUGUCCUGUCAUUUAAUUGAAAGUAAUUGACAAUAUUCUUGUUCGUUUUUCAGCAGCAUUUGUAAAGUUAAUUUAGUUUGAAUAUCACACCAUCCAUUGCUUUUGAUUUUCUUGUGACCAGAAACUAGCAUUUUACAUAGUGGUGUAAGCUAACUAUGAUAAUUCAUGCAAAGAUAUGAUAAAAAAAAUUAUA